UUCAACGUGUUUUUUUCCUGUUUAUUCAUUGUUGUUUUAUUUGUGUUUUAUUUUGUGUUUUUAUUGUUGUUGAUCGCAAGUUGUGCGACAAUUAAAAAUAGUAUUUUGUCUCCCCCUUUUCGCGUGAUCCGUAAACACAACUCAGGAAAUUUGUGAAUAUUCACUCUGAUUCACACAUUCAGUAUUCAGUAUUCGAUGUUUGAUGUACAUUCGAUGUACUUAGAUAUGCUCAGACGACCGCCAAACACCUCGGCCUAGCUCAAGGCCAAUUCUAAACAGACUCAGGAACAAAGCACCUCAGAACACCUUCAACAGUUUUAGUUACAAGAGGCAAAAGCAAACGCAAAAACAAAAGCAAACGCAAUAUGCACAGCAGCAGAAAGAGCAGAAAGAGGGCAAAGGCGAUUUCCAGGAACACCGAACAAGAAGCAGAAGCAGAAGCACAAGCAAACAGAAGAUGUGGGCAACACAAAAAACACAAAAAAAAAUGAACAUAUAACAGUAAAAGUGAAGCCGUCGCAGCAACGGAAACCUUCUUCGUAGGGCUUCUGCGUCGCAGCGCAGUCGCAGCGCAGCUGGCGAAAUUGAGCUGUUUUAUUUAGAGUUAAUCAAAAUGACAGAACUCGGUCGAAGUACGAGUGUGAGUGCACUGUGAGUGUAUUCGUGAAUAAUUAGAACUGCCCGCCCUUUUGGCACACAAAAAAACAGUAAAACAUAAAAACAGAAAAAAUGAAGACGCAGUCAACACACUUCCGCUGGCCUUGAGCGACAAUAAACAAUAAUAAAUAACAAUAAACUAACAUCAACUUCAAUUGAAGGGGCAACCGGGGCAAGCAACAGACAGCAACAGAAUUGGAGUUGCUUUUGAAGAACUGAACGGAACUUAACUUCCAUAUGGAAUUAUAUGCAUUUUUAGCCUUUUUUCGCAAUGUCUAAAACAAAAAAUAACUUUUUUCGGAUGUGAAAAUAAACUUUCAUCUAGCUAUAACAAUAUUAAAAGACAAAACUCACUUUAUAAUAUAUUUUUAAAAUAACUCGCUUAUCCAGAAGCUUGAGAAAAUAUUUUGGAGUGUCAAAAUAAACUUGGAACUUAUAAUUUCAACAAAUUGUAAUUUCUGUGUCAAGAAAAGGUUAUUUUUGUGAGUCGUGUAUCAAAACUCUAUCAAUACUUUCAUCUAUGUAGCUAUAAAAAUAUUAGAAAACAAGAAUAUAUUUUAAAUGUAAAUUAUCAAAAAGGCAUGAACAAAUAUUUUGUAUACUCAACUAAAAUUACAACUUAUAAUUUCAACAAAUUGUAAUUUCUGUGUCAAGAAAAGGCUAACAAGAUGUGCACUUUUAGCUAUUUUUGCGAGUCUGCUUUAAGAAGUAGUGUCAACACUGCAAGCUACAUGCCGAUGACUCAGUCAUAGCUCGAUCGAUGUGCAGUAUGUGUGUGUAAGUGUGUGUGUGUGUCUACAGAAGAGUUCUGGCAAAUUCUACGCACUUGUAAAAACACACACAAACACACGCAGACACAUGAACAAUCCAAGUGCAUUGACGACGAUGACGGGGCAAUUCAAACAGUUCCAAGGCCACUUUCGGCUGCCGGCGGAGAAUUGCGGAGAAUUCAACAAACGGAGACAAGUGCGUGGGUCUUCAAAGGAAGGAGAGGAUGAUGGUGAUGGGGAGGAGGAGGAGGAACAGGAGGAGCACGAGACUUGAGCUUGUCGCGAGUUCAAUUCUCGGAAACGCUUACGGCAAAUGCAAGGCCACAGAGGAGGGGAGGGGGGUAAAGUGGAAGUUGCAAAUAAAUGCAGCAGCAAACUAGAGGUACUUCCAUUUCCAUUGGCGAGAUAAGCAGAGUGAACAGACCAAGAUAACUCGACUCAACUUGAUGAGAGAAAAUCGAGAGAAGAUUGCACUUGUGUUUCUUUUUUCCUCUUCCCUUCUUUAUUUUCUUACCUCUUUUUGCGGUCUUCUUCUCAUUAUUAUUAUUAUUCGCAGUCUUCGCUUCAGUCAGUCAGUCAGUCAGUUGGUCAUCGGUGUCAUGUGCAUAGCUCACGCUGUGUUCCUCCCCCCACCCCUCCCUUUCUCUUCGUCUUCCCCUUAUUCUAGUCUGGGCCAAGUCUCUUCUCGCCUGUUUCUCAGCUUACAUCGGGGGGGGACUCUUCAGUUCUUCCUUUUCGUUGAAGUUUUAAUGUCUGCCUAUCCAAUCAGUAGCCAGUUGUGUCUGGUAAUUUGAUCUGAGUAACGGUAAACGAAGACCAUGUGGCGUAUACGUAAUAUAUACGUUUACCUCACUAGGAAAUGCAAAUGAGUUGGAGUGAGUGAGUGAGUGAGUGAGAGAGAGAGAGCAAGGGGCGGGCGGUGGCAAGAGGGGGGCAGUAGAAAGUACUAAAAAUACCACGACGAGAACCAGAACGAGAACGAGAAAGAAACAUACACACAAAAAAGAAUGCGCAAAUCAAAUGAGCAUUGAACCCGAUCGCCUCCACUCGACAAUGCAUUGACAUUGCUAGCAGCGUUGUUAUCGCAACCCCUUUCCCCCUCCUCUUGUGAUUCUCCUUCUCCUCUUCUUCUUCUUCAUCUCCACUCGCCGCUGCCGCCGAAAGUGCAAUGUUUUUGGAAAUCAGCUUCAGAAACCAGCCCAAAAAUCCAAAGAGUCGAGAGCUAAUAAUAAGUCACAUGGCAGUUAACCUGAGCUAUACACACACACACAUGCAUAUGUAUUUGCAUACAUAUUAGCAAUAGCAAAGCAAGGCAAAGCAGUGAGGGGAGGGGCGAAGCGAAUGGGGGAGAGCGAGAACCGGUCAUAGUAACAGUUGCGUUGCGUUCCAUGCUCCCCUUCUCCCCCCUCUCUCAAACUACACCAUAACUAGCACUAACACACAUUGCACACACGAAGCCGAUCGCCGAGCCGAAGUGCGUUCGUAACUCGCGAGCCGAACCGAGCCGAGCCGAUUCAUUUCAAUUUCCCACUGCUGGAAGGGAGAGAAAGACAGAGAGAGCAGGAGAGUGAAUUGCGCUACGCUGUUCGCAUAUUUUUGCUCAACACAUUUUUAUCUAAUAACCUUGUGCAAUGUUAUUAAACCCAAAAAGUUUCUUCACCUCGCCGGCAGCAGCAGCGACAGCAGAAGCGCAGCGCAGUGGCAGCGCAGCUGCGUCGAGCUGCUUCUGAUGAGAAAUGCUAAUACACACACACUCGCAUGCUCAUGUCAAUGUGAGUGUGUGCAAAUAAUCAACGACAACGCACAAAGCUCAAGCAACAACGAAAAAGGUUGCUCACCAACACAAAUGCAGCUGCGAAUGCACACGAGCAACAACAAUGAGAAUGCAGGAGCAAAGAGAGAAGUCUCCACCCCCCUUGCGCCCACCCACGAUCUACUUUCCAACUGUACACACACAUACAUGUACAUACAUAUAUAUGCAAGUGUCAAAAGUAUUCGUAUGUAUGUGUGUCAAUUGAACACAAUCUUGCUGCAAAGUAGGAGUUUGCUUAUUUGUGCAUCGAGCAAACACAAAUUAAUAUACAUACAUACAUACAAAUAUAUAUAUACAAUAUAUGUAUAUGGACAUCUUUCAUACUUCACCCAAUUGCAGUCCGCAUGUCAAUUGCAUAGCAAACAAGCAAAUGACAUGUAAUACGAAUUAAAGCCUGCAUGUGUGUACAUACGUACAUAUGUACAUACAUACAUAUCUGCUUAUAAAACUACAUAUAGAAUUGUCAAGGCAGCCGCGCGCGCGCAAAACAGAAAGAGAAAGAGCGACAGAAAGAGAGAGAUUGCAAACGUAAUGCGCAGCUAACUUUUGUUUUAGCUUUUGCUCUCGUCCCAUUGCACACACACAAACAUACAUACACAUGCAUGCGCGAGCGCAGCCAGAGAGGGAGAACUUUGUGUGGUUGUUGUUGUUGCUGCGCCGUUUACUUUCUGCAAAGCAUUGCGUUGUAGGCUUUUGUUCAUGCAAGCAAUUUGUGUUUGCGUAUUGUACGUAUGUCUAUAAGUGUGCGUGUGUGUGUGUGUGUACAUGUGUAGCUGCUUUUUUUGCAAUUUUAUUUGUAUGCAAUUUGUGUUUUUUCGUCGACAAGAAAUUUCGCCAGCUUUGCAUUACUUUUGAAAGUUGCCUUCUUGCGUUUUUUCGUUAAAUUAACUAAGGCCUAACUGCAAAAAAAGAGUGUUGUUGCGCUGUGUCAGCGGAUUAGCGUACAGUCCACGAUCCACACAAUCCACACAGUCCACACAAUCCACACACUCUUCACUGUCCUUCAUUUACCCAGAGCAAUUCAUGCAAUUUAGUAGUAAAGUGAAGUUAGCUUACCUCUCCCUCUUGCUGUCCCAUUCACACUUUCGCACGCUUGUGUAAUUUGCAGUUCAAUGCUCAUUAGAGCUCCACACGGCGCGUCGGGCCAAUAACUGAUUGCCAAAGUCGCUUAUCAGGCGGGAGCGGGACACAAGAUAAUAAGGCAGCAUAUUGUUGUUGCUGUUGUUGUUACACUUUUCAGUAGCACACAUAGGGGCGGGGCGGGGCGGUGCGGUGUGUAGAGGGGUAGGCGUCUGAUGCUUCGAUGCGUCUGACGACAACGAGCCGUUGAACGGGUAGACCGAACGUCGCGAGUUCAAAGCCCUAACGACGUUGACGACGGCGACGAUGACGACGACGACGACGACAGCGAAAAUUACCGCGCACAAAUCACACACUUCCACUUCCCAUAUUUAAAUGCAUUGUGUUACACACACACACACAACCAUUAACACUAACACUAACACUCACAGACACUUACACUUACACACACGCACGCGUGAACAUGCA